rnacentral:rRNA from 1 species
UACGGAGGGAGCUAGCGUUGUUCGGAAUUACUGGGCGUAAAGCGCACGUAGGCGGCUUUGUAAGUUAGGGGUGAAAGCCCGGAGCUCAACUCCGGAAUUGCCUUUAAGACUGCAUCGCUUGAAUCCGGGAGAGGUGAGUGGAAUUCCGAGUGUAGAGGUGAAAUUCGUAGAUAUUCGGAAGAACACCAGUGGCGAAGGCGGCUCACUGGACCGGUAUUGACGCUGAGGUACGAAAGCGUGGGGAGCAAACAGG